GAUGAAGAACGCAGCGAAAUGCGAUAAGUAAUGUGAAUUGCAGAAUUCCGUGAAUCAUCGAAUCUUUGAACGCACAUUGCGCCCCCUGGUAUUCCGGGGGGCAUGCCUGUCCGAGCGUCAUUGCAACCCUCAAGCGCGGCUUGCGUGUUGGGCGCCGUCCCCCGUGGACGUGCCCGAAAGGCAGUGGCGGUACCGUGCUCCGGUGCCCGAGCGUAUGGGCUUAAAACCCGCUCUUGUGGCCCGGCCGGCGCUGGCCUCGACCCCCAACUUUACAAGGUUGACCUCGGAUCAGGUAGGGAUACCCGCUGAACUUAAGCAUAUCAAUAAGCGGAGGA
rnacentral:misc_RNA from 1 species